rnacentral:rRNA from 1 species
CACGUAGGAGACGAGCGUUAUCCGGAUUUACUGGGCGUAAAGCGCGUGUAGGCGGCUAAGUAAGUCGGGCGUGAAAUCCCACGGCUCAACCGUGGAAGUGCACUCGAAACUGCAUAGCUAGAGUCCUGGAGAGGAAGGUGGAAUGCUUGGUGUAGAGGUGAAAUUCGUAGAUAUCAAGCGGAACACCGGUGGCGAAGGCGGCCUUCUGGACAGUGACUGACGCUGAGACGCGAAAGCGUGGGGAGCAAACAGG